GUGGAGUGCAAUUGUGAAUUGUGAUAAGUAGGCUGAGCAAAUUGUACUGCUAGUGUAGUUUGUUUUGUUUGAUUUGUGUGGGCACACUUGAAAUUGGCGUGAGUCUAGUAACAUAAGUUGUGUCAUUUUGCUCAGAAGCCUUACAUUUGAGUUCUUUCUGGAUCAUCUGAUGUCCACACUGAGUUUAUCUGAUGUCCACACUCUGAGUUUAUCUGAUGUCCACACACUGAGUUUUGGCAAUUAAUUUGCCUGUUUAGAAGCAGAGUUCUAGAACCUGAACUGUCUGUCUGAAGCAGAGCUCUGGAACCUGAACUGUCUGUCUGAUUGGUUGCUGCUUACUUUGUGCUGCACUGAAAUUGGUAGUGGUGUCUGUCUAGCCCAUUGGAAGUUUUCUUCUCAUCUCUGUUUCGUUACUGCACAGGGGAACUUGGUACAGCCAUCCAUGGUAUCAGAAUAUGACCUGGGAGGAGAAGGGGACCUGUUCAAAGCUCCAGAAGCCAUCAUCAAGGAACCGCUGCUCCUGAACUGUCUGUCUGAUUCUGUUCAUUUGUUGCUGUGUAGGAUGGGCUUGUGCCAAGCUUGAAUCCUCUUGUGAAGGAGUUUCUCAAUGCUGCUGAUGACAAGCGGAAGGAAGUCCUCUCUAAAAUAGAAGAGGAUGUUGCUAAGCUCAGCGGUUCUGCAGCCAAAUCUCGCGUCUAGAAUUGCCGCUAGAUGGGGGAGCUAAGAAGCUACAAGUGAAUGCCGAGGAGAGCAGCCAUGACUUGGCU